GGCUCCAAUUCCUUUACAUCAACCCAACACUGUCUAGGGAACUCAAGCAGUCAGCAUUCCUCUUCCUUCUGGGGUAUUUCUUCUAGUUUCUCUUGCUACCUCUUGGGAUCAUCUGAAGAAUCGAAUUCAAUGUGAUUCAACAAAGAUUUAUUUUUAUUUUAUUUUUUGAAUUAAUUUAUUUAGUCGAUUUAGAACAUUAUUCCUUGGUUACAAUAAUCACAAAAUUUCCCUCCCUCCCUUCCACCCACCCUUCCUGCAGCCAACGUGCAAUUUCAUUGGGUAUUACUUGUGUCCUUGAUCAGAACCUAUUUCCAUGUUGUUGAUGUUUGCAUUAGGAUGUUCAUUUAGAGUCUACAUCCCCAACCAUAUUCCCUCAACCCAUGUAAUCAAGCAGUUGUUUUUCUUUGUUGUUUCUACUCCCACAGUUUUUCUUCUCAAUGUGGAGAGUGGUUUUUCUCGUAGAUCCCUCCAAGUUGUUCAGGAUCACUGCAUUGCCACUAAUGGAGAAGUCCAUUACGUUCGAUUAUACCACAAUGUAUCAGUCUCUGUGUAUAAUGUUCUCCUGGUUCUGCUCCUCUCACUCUGCAUCACUUCCUGGAGGUUGUUCCAGUCUCCAUGGAAUUCCUCUAGUUUAUCAUUCCUUUGAGCACAAUAGUUUUCUAUCACCAACAUAUACCACAAUUUGUUCAGCCAUUCCCCAAUUGGAGGGCAUCCCCUCAUUUUCUAAUUUUUUGCCACCCCAAAGAACGUAUCAGCAAAGAUUUAUUAGCACCUACAGUGUACAAAGAAAGUCCUGGGGAUCCAAGGCAAUACUGAGGCAAUUCCAGCCCUCCAGGAGUUUACAUUAUUCUGGUGGAAGAAAGGGAUACAAGAUAAGCCCAAUAGGGAGAAGCCUGGAGCAAGCAGAGCAGGGAGCCGGAGCUGGAGCUAGAGACCAAGCAGGAGAUGGAGCAGAAGCUGGAGCUGGAGUUUGAAACAGGAGACAGGCUCGAAGAAGGUGCAGCAGAGAGAGCCGGAGGUCAACUUCCGGG
ensembl:lncRNA